rnacentral:tRNA from 1 species
GGCUCUAUUGUCUAAUGGUUAAGACCUUACAUCUUCAUUGUAAAUAUCUUGGUUCGAUUCCAAGUAGGGCUAC